GGCGCUUUCGUUGGCAGAGAGCGCGUGAGAAUCACCACCCACGGAACAGAGGGAGACAGCGCAAGAAGGGGCAACUCCCAGCUGCGGGAAUAGUGGAAACAACGCCACCUGAUUGUGUCUGGCAGGCUCGCGGAGGGGUGAAGAAAGCUGGCACUUUUCCCCUUAGUGCCAUUUUAUGCUUUUUAAUACUGUGAUCAACAUAAUUAUGUAUAUAGCUUUGGGCAGUUGGUCAGUGAUCUCCACAGAGCUCAUGAAGACAUGAAGUUUCUCUCUGCUGUUUUCUUUCUCCUCCAAGUCCCCAGCCCAUGGAACAUUUCUUUUAAAACUCGAAAUGGCUACUUAAGCAGUGGUUCAAGAGAGUCAAAGGGCAGGGAAGAGCAGUGUGACCACUAGUGAUGACAGCAUUUAUGUGAAUCCAGCCCGCUGCAAAUCACAAGAGCCCAGCUGAUAAUGAUCCACACCCAGCUCUUAGCUCUCAGCGUGUGAAAACAGAGAAGGUAGGACUGGUGGGGAACUGUAGACCCAUUUUCCUAAAAGACGCGGUUGCUAUUCACUCAAUUUCUGUCUUUGAAAGUGAGCCGCCAAGGGCAGAUUUCCCAAUUUUCCAAGAGGG
rnacentral:lncRNA from 1 species